UUAUCGGAGAGUUUGAUCCUGGCUCAGGACGAACGCUGGCGGCGUGCCUAAUACAUGCAAGUCGAGCGGACAGAUGGGAGCUUGCUCCCUGAUGUUAGCGGCGGACGGGUGAGUAACACGUGGGUAACCUGCCUGUAAGACUGGGAUAACUCCGGGAAACCGGGGCUAAUACCGGAUGGUUGUUUGAACCGCAUGGUUCAGACAUAAAAGGUGGCUUCGGCUACCACUUACAGAUGGACCCGCGGCGCAUUAGCUAGUUGGUGAGGUAACGGCUCACCAAGGCGACGAUGCGUAGCCGACCUGAGAGGGUGAUCGGCCACACUGGGACUGAGACACGGCCAGACUCCUACGGGAGGCAGCAGUAGGGAAUCUUCCGCAAUGGACGAAAGUCUGACGGAGCAACGCCGCGUGAGUGAUGAAGGUUUUCGGAUCGUAAAGCUCUGUUGUUAGGGAAGAACAAGUGCCGUUCAAAUAGGGCGGCACCUUGACGGUACCUAACCAGAAAGCCACGGCUAACUACGUGCCAGCAGCCGCGGUAAUACGUAGGUGGCAAGCGUUGUCCGGAAUUAUUGGGCGUAAAGGGCUCGCAGGCGGUUUCUUAAGUCUGAUGUGAAAGCCCCCGGCUCAACCGGGGAGGGUCAUUGGAAACUGGGGAACUUGAGUGCAGAAGAGGAGAGUGGAAUUCCACGUGUAGCGGUGAAAUGCGUAGAGAUGUGGAGGAACACCAGUGGCGAAGGCGACUCUCUGGUCUGUAACUGACGCUGAGGAGCGAAAGCGUGGGGAGCGAACAGGAUUAGAUACCCUGGUAGUCCACGCCGUAAACGAUGAGUGCUAAGUGUUAGGGGGUUUCCGCCCCUUAGUGCUGCAGCUAACGCAUUAAGCACUCCGCCUGGGGAGUACGGUCGCAAGACUGAAACUCAAAGGAAUUGACGGGGGCGCACAAGCGGUGGAGCAUGUGGUUUAAUUCGAAGCAACGCGAAGAACCUUACCAGGUCUUGACAUCCUCUGACAAUCCUAGAGAUAGGACGUCCCCUUCGGGGGCAGAGUGACAGGUGGUGCAUGGUUGUCGUCAGCUCGUGUCGUGAGAUGUUGGGUUAAGUCCCGCAACGAGCGCAACCCUUGAUCUUAGUUGCCAGCAUUCAGUUGGGCACUCUAAGGUGACUGCCGGUGACAAACCGGAGGAAGGUGGGGAUGACGUCAAAUCAUCAUGCCCCUUAUGACCUGGGCUACACACGUGCUACAAUGGACAGAACAAAGGGCAGCGAAACCGCGAGGUUAAGCCAAUCCCAUAAAUCUGUUCUCAGUUCGGAUCGCAGUCUGCAACUCGACUGCGUGAAGCUGGAAUCGCUAGUAAUCGCGGAUCAGCAUGCCGCGGUGAAUACGUUCCCGAGCCUUGUACACACCGCCCGUCACACCACGAGAGUUUGUAACACCCGAAGUCGGUGAGGUAACCUUUAUGGAGCCAGCCGCCGAAGGUGGGACAGAUGAUUGGGGUGAAGUCGUAACAAGGUAGCCGUAUCGGAAGGUGCGGCUGGAUCACCUCCUUU
rnacentral:rRNA from 1 species